UAAACAGCAGAGAAACCCUCUGCUAGGGCUUCAUCUUCUCUGCCGCCGCCAAUCAAGGCCGACUCACGGCCUCCGUCGAUGCCCCAAUUUCCGAUGGCGACGGAAAAGGGAACACCGCAACAAGACCGGGUAAGUUUUCUUUUCUCCCCUCUUUAUAUUUUGAGCAACAAAAAAUAAAAAAAUGAAAAAUGAAAAAUAAAAAAAGAUAACAAAUUCCUUAAAGAGCGACGGACACUAAGAAAUAAAACGGAAGAAAGAAUCACCUCUAUUCAGAUUUUUCUUUUUUUCUAUUGAUUUUGUGAACCCCCCAUUACAGAUUUCAAAUGGCUUUUUAUAGCCCGAAAGAAAAAGAAAAACAAUAAAAUCAAUAUCUGUUGUUGAUAUUCUUUGCUGUUUUUUCUCCUUCGGAUUCUUUGAGUCCUUCUUUUGCAGGUGUCGUGGGGAGCAAACGUGGAGGAGUCGGCCCCGAGACGUGCGGCAGUUGAAGGCUUGCUGGCGGCGUUGGGCAGACAUGCGACUGAUACUAAGGUUUCUUUGGGCUAGGGUUAACUUGGGUUUUAGGUUAUUAAUUGGGCCUAGGUUUAGUUUAUUGGGUUUGGGCCCGAGCAUAUUUGGGCUUGUACAGUGGUUAAACAAAAAUGUUUUAUAUUAAAAAUAUAUAUUUAUAAGAAUAUAUCAAUAAAUGAUUAUAAGGG
rnacentral:lncRNA from 1 species